UGGACAUGUAGCCAAGCCAGGAUAUGGCAUCAGCCUCCUAAGCUGAAGAUCUAGGGUUCGAAUCCCUACAUGCCCGU
rnacentral:tRNA from 1 species